GCUAUGGGGACUGCGAUCUCCCCACGAGGCGACAUGCCGAAGAAUCGCGUCCGACUCCAACCAACGGACGCACCAUG
rnacentral:ncRNA from 1 species